rnacentral:rRNA from 1 species
GACGAACGCUUGCGGCGUGCUUAACACAUGCAAGUCGAACGGAAAGGCCCUGCUUUUGUGGGGUGCUCGAGUGGCGAACGGGUGAGUAACACGUGAGUAACCUGCCCUUGACUUUGGGAUAACUUCGGGAAACUGGGGCUAAUACCGGAUAGGAGCUCCUGCUGCAUGGUGGGGGUUGGAAAGUUUCGGCGGUUGGGGAUGGACUCGCGGCUUAUCAGCUUGUUGGUGGGGUAGUGGCUUACCAAGGCUUUGACGGGUAGCCGGCCUGAGAGGGUGACCGGCCACAUUGGGACUGAGAUACGGCCCAGACUCCUACGGGAGGCAGCAGUGGGGAAUAUUGCACAAUGGGCGGAAGCCUGAUGCAGCAACGCCGCGUGCGGGAUGACGGCCUUCGGGUUGUAAACCGCUUUCGCCUGUGACGAAGCGUGAGUGACGGUAAUGGGUAAAGAAGCACCGGCUAACUACGUGCCAGCAGCCGCGGUGAUACGUAGGGUGCGAGCGUUGUCCGGAUUUAUUGGGCGUAAAGGGCUCGUAGGUGGUUGAUCGCGUCGGAAGUGUAAUCUUGGGGCUUAACCCUGAGCGUGCUUUCGAUACGGGUUGACUUGAGGAAGGUAGGGGAGAAUGGAAUUCCUGGUGGAGCGGUGGAAUGCGCAGAUAUCAGGAGGAACACCAGUGGCGAAGGCGGUUCUCUGGGCCUUUCCUGACGCUGAGGAGCGAAAGCGUGGGGAGCGAACAGGCUUAGAUACCCUGGUAGUCCACGCUGUAAACGGUGGGUACUAGGUGUGGGGUCCACUCCACGGGUUCCGUGCCGUAGCUAACGCUUUAAGUACCCCGCCUGGGGAGUACGGCCGCAAGGCUAAAACUCAAAGGAAUUGACGGGGCCCCGCACGAGCGGCGGAGCAUGCGGAUUAAUUCGAUGCAACGCGUAGAACCUUACCUGGGUUUGACAUGGAUCGGGAGUGCUCAGAGAUGGGUGUGCCUCUUUUGGGGUCGGUUCACAGGUGGUGCAUGGCUGUCGUCAGCUCGUGUCGUGAGAUGUUGGGUUAAGUCCCGCAACGAGCGCAACCCUUGUUCACUGUUGCCAGCACGUUAUGGUGGGGACUCAGUGGAGACCGCCGGGGUCAACUCGGAGGAAGGUGGGGAUGACGUCAAGUCAUCAUGCCCCUUAUGUCCAGGGCUUCACGCAUGCUACAAUGGCUGGUACAGAGAGUGGCGAGCCUGUGAGGGUGAGCGAAUCUCGGAAAGCCGGUCUCAGUUCGGAUUGGGGUCUGCAACUCGACCUCAUGAAGUCGGAGUCGCUAGUAAUCGCAGAUCAGCAACGCUGCGGUGAAUACGUUCCCGGG